rnacentral:tRNA from 1 species
UAGUUCAGUGGUAGAACAUUUGUCUAGCAUGCAUGAGGCCCUGGGAUCAAUCCCCAG